rnacentral:rRNA from 1 species
GUCUAUGGCCAUAUCACCCUGAAUGCACCCGAUCUCCUCUGAUCUUGGAAGCUAAGCAGGGUCAGGCCUGGUUAGUACUUGGAUAGGAGAAUAUGCCAAUAGAAAUAGUGGUGCCAAAAAAG